rnacentral:rRNA from 1 species
UUCCGUAGGUGAACCUGCGGAAGGAUCAUUACCGAGUGAGGGCCCUCUGGGUCCAACCUCCCACCCGUGUUUAUUUUACCUUGUUGCUUCGGCGGGCCCGCCUUAACUGGCCGCCGGGGGGCUUACGCCCCCGGGCCCGCGCCCGCCGAAGACACCCUCGAACUCUGUCUGAAGAUUGUAGUCUGAGUGAAAAUAUAAAUUAUUUAAAACUUUCAACAACGGAUCUCUUGGUUCCGGCAUCGAUGAAGAACGCAGCGAAAUGCGAUACGUAAUGUGAAUUGCAAAUUCAGUGAAUCAUCGAGUCUUUGAACGCACAUUGCGCCCCCUGGUAUUCCGGGGGGCAUGCCUGUCCGAGCGUCAUUGCUGCCCUCAAGCACGGCUUGUGUGUUGGGCCCCGUCCUCCGAUCCCGGGGGACGGGCCCGAAAGGCAGCGGCGGCACCGCGUCCGGUCCUCGAGCGUAUGGGGCUUUGUCACCCGCUCUGUAGGCCCGGCCGGCGCUUGCCGAUCAACCCAAAUUUUUAUCCAGGUUGACCUCGGAUCAGGUAGGGAUACCCGCUGAACUUAAGCAUAUCAAUAAGCGGAGGAA